rnacentral:rRNA from 1 species
UCCGUAGGCGGUGCGGCAAGUCGGAAGUGAAAUCUCCGGGCUUAACCCAGAGGCUGCUUCCGAAACUGCCGUGCUAGAGUGCGAGAGAGGCGAGUGGAAUUGCGGGUGUAGCGGUGAAAUGCGUAGAUAUCCGCAGGAACAUCCGAGGCGAAGGCGGCUCGCUGGAUCGCAACUGACGCUGAGGGACGAAAGCUAGGGGAGCAAACAGGAUUAGAUACCCUGGUAGUCCUAGCCCUAAACCAUCAGGACUUGGGGUUUGCCCUGUACGGGGCAAGUCCCGUAGCUAACGCGUUAAGUCCUGCGCCUGGGGAGUACGGUCGCAAGGCUGAA